GACGAGCGCUGGCGGCGUGCCUAAUACAUGCAAGUAGGACGCAGUUGCGCACGGGUGAGUAACGCGUAGGUAACUGCCUAUUAGAGGGGGAUAACUAUUGGAAACGAUAGCUAAUACCGCAUACUAGUAGAUGGACCUGCGUUGUUUUAGCUAGUAGGUAGGGGAAUGGCCUACCUAGGCGACGAUACAUAGCGUACCUGGUAGGGUGUUCGGCCACACUGAGACGGAGAGACGGCCCAGACUCCUACGGGAGGCAGCAGUAGGUAGUCUUCGGCAAUGGGGGGACCCCUGACCGAGCAUCGCCGCGUGAGUGAAGAAGGUUUUCGGAUCGUAAAGCUCUGUUGUUAAGGAAGCGGUACUUAACCAGAAAGGGACGGCUAACUACGUGCCAGCAGCCGCGGUAAUAC
rnacentral:rRNA from 1 species